rnacentral:lncRNA from 1 species
GUGGGGGGCCUAGGAUGGGUCGGUUCUCGCCCCCUGGGGACCCUCUGGCAGGUGGGAGGGCGAGGCCCAUCUCUGGCUUGCGCACGGCGGCGUGGGGUGGCCUGGAAGCGGGAACAGGCCAGGGCCGCGCUGACUUACAAGGCGCCCUGGGGAAGGCCAGGACGAGGAAAUCUAGGGUUCAGGUCCCUGGGCGUCCCCUCAGCGAGCGCAGCCCCUCCCAGAGCAGAACUCCUGGGCUCCUGGAGUCACCCUCCCAGCGAAGCAGAAAUAUGGCCACGUCCUGGGAGGGGCAGGCAGCGGCUCCCUCUGCGCAGCCCCGGCCUUUCCCUUGGCCCGCUCGCCAGUGUCAGCCCAACCUGCCGGCCCCUCUGGGGCGUCGCGGCACUGGCGUCUGAACCCAGCAGCCCCGCGCCGUGGAGCCUGGGGCGCCCACUUGGCUUCUUGCAGCCUCACCGGAUCCACCCCAGGGCACGGGUGGGGAAGGCACUGGGCGCCCAGGCUGUGAGCAGGACUGGGGGGAGGGUGGGUUCUGGAAAAGCACUGGAGCCAGGGGGGCAGAGGGGACUGUUUACCUUGGGCCCGGGGCGGGCUAGGAACUUCCCCCACCCACGCCGCAUUCCUGAGCGCCCCUGUCAGCCGCGGGCCAGGUCCCAGGAAGGCCUGCGCGGCCAGACACCCGCGUCCCAGGGUGGAGGAUGGGCACGGGGGAGGAGGAAGAGCCUGGCUGGAGGGGCCCCUGGUGGCCAGGCGGCUGGGGAGAGGCCAUGUGACAAGCCCCCACCCCCACCCAUGGCACACAGGGAGGGAGAGGGCUUCCUGCCACCCCGCCCCACACAGGCCAGCACACGCAGGGGUUGGAAGCAGCGCAGCCGAGGCAGGAGGGUUUCGGUACAAUCUAUAUUAUCUCAUAUAUAUAUAUAUACUUCUUCCUCACUUUAUCUGCUCACUUCUGUCACGCAUUUAAAAUGUCACAGAGACCAAAAUAGAGCGGCUUUCUGGUGGAGCUCAGGGCAGUCAUACAACGAGAUACAAAACUAG